rnacentral:rRNA from 1 species
GGGCUUGACAUCCCACGAACCUGCCUGAAAGGGCGGGGUGCCCGCAAGGGAGCGUGGAGACAGGUGGUGCAUGGCUGUCGUCAGCUCGUGUCGUGAGAUGUUGGGUUAAGUCCCGCAACGAGCGCAACCCUCACCCCUAGUUGCCACCGGGUAAUGCCGAGCACUCGAGAGGAACUGCCAGCGUCAAGCUGGAGGAAGGCGGGGAUGACGUCAAGUCAUCAUGCCCCUUACGUCCUGGGCUACACACGUGCUACAAUGGCCGGUACAAAGGGACGCGAGACCGCGAGGUGGAGCCAAUCCCAAAAAGCUGGUCUAAGUUCGGAUUGCAGUCUGCAACUCGACUGCAUGAAGUAGGAAUCGCUAGUAAUCGCGCAUCAGCACGGCGCGGUGAAUACGUUCCCGGGCCUUGUACACACCGCCCGUCACACCACGAAAGCUGGCUGUACUCGAAGUCGCUGAG